AACCCGCGAGGGUGAGCUAAUCUCUUAAAGUACGUCUCAGUUCGGAUUGUAGGCUGCAACUCGCCUACAUGAAGUCGGAGUUGCUAGUAAUCGCGGAUCAGAACGCCGCGGUGAAUGCGGGCCCGGGUCUUGUACACACCGCCCGUCACACCAUGGAAGUUGGGGGUGCCCGAAGUUGGCAGAAAUGUUACCUAAGGCAAAACCAAUGACUGGGGUGAAGUCGUAACAAGGGAGCCGUAUCGGAAGGUGCGGCUGGAUCACCUCCUUUCUA
rnacentral:rRNA from 1 species